GUCCAACCUGCCCAGUGAACUAAUUUCAACGGCCGCGGUAUCCUAACCGUGCAAAGGUAGCAUAAUCACUUGUCUCCUAAAUAGAGACUUGUAUGAACGGUUAAAUGAGGGCCUAACUGUCUCCUGCAGCCAAUCAAUGAAAUUGACCUCACAGUACAAAUGCUGUGAUAUACCUAUAAGACGAAAAGACCCUGUGGAGCUUUAAAUUCAACAUAUUAAUUAAUCCACUAAUUAAUAUAAUAUAAAUUUUAAGUUGGGGCGACUAUGGAGUAAAAAUUAACCUCCAUGUAACACGACUAAAACUCGUCACAUAAGGCUAACAAGCCAAACAAAAACUUGACCCAGUCAAACUGACCAUCGAACCAAGUUACCCCAGGGAUAACAGCGCCAUCCCCUUAAAGAGUUCACAUCGACAAGGGGGUUUACGACCUCGAUGUUGGAUCAGGACACCCAAGUGGUGUAGCAGCUACUAAAGGUUCGUUUGUUCAACGAA
rnacentral:rRNA from 1 species